rnacentral:rRNA from 14 species
AUAGCGUAUAUUAAAGUUGUUGCAGUUAAAAAGCUCGUAGUUGAACCUUGGGCCUGGCUGGCCGGUCCGCCUCACCGCGUGUACUGGUCCGGCCGGGCCUUUCCUUCUGGGGAGCCGCAUGCCCUUCACUGGGUGUGUCGGGGAACCAGGACUUUUACUUUGAAAAAAUUAGAGUGUUCAAAGCAGGCCUUUGCUCGAAUACAUUAGCAUGGAAUAAUAGAAUAGGACGUGCGGUUCUAUUUUGUUGGUUUUUGGAAUCGCCGUAAUGAUUAAUAGGGACAGUCGGGGGCAUCAGUAUUCAAUUGUCAGAGGUGAAAUUCUUGGA